UUGAACGCUGGCGGCAGGCCUAACACAUGCAAGUCGAACGGUAACAGGAAGAAGCUUGCUUCUUUGCUGACGAGUGGCGGACGGGUGAGUAAUGUCUGGGAAACUGCCUGAUGGAGGGGGAUAACUACUGGAAACGGUAGCUAAUACCGCAUAACGUCGCAAGACCAAAGAGGGGGACCUUCGGGCCUCUUGCCAUCGGAUGUGCCCAGAUGGGAUUAGCUAGUAGGUGGGGUAACGGCUCACCUAGGCGACGAUCCCUAGCUGGUCUGAGAGGAUGACCAGCCACACUGGAACUGAGACACGGUCCAGACUCCUACGGGAGGCAGCAGUGGGGAAUAUUGCACAAUGGGCGCAAGCCUGAUGCAGCCAUGCCGCGUGUAUGAAGAAGGCCUUCGGGUUGUAAAGUACUUUCAGCGGGGAGGAAGGGAGUAAAGUUAAUACCUUUGCUCAUUGACGUUACCCGCAGAAGAAGCACCGGCUAACUCCGUGCCAGCAGCCGCGGUAAUACGGAGGGUGCAAGCGUUAAUCGGAAUUACUGGGCGUAAAGCGCACGCAGGCGGUUUGUUAAGUCAGAUGUGAAAUCCCCGGGCUCAACCUGGGAACUGCAUCUGAUACUGGCAAGCUUGAGUCUCGUAGAGGGGGGUAGAAUUCCAGGUGUAGCGGUGAAAUGCGUAGAGAUCUGGAGGAAUACCGGUGGCGAAGGCGGCCCCCUGGACGAAGACUGACGCUCAGGUGCGAAAGCGUGGGGAGCAAACAGGAUUAGAUACCCUGGUAGUACACGCCGUAAACGAUGUCGACUUGGAGGUUGUGCCCUUGAGGCGUGGCUUCCGGAGCUAACGCGUUAAGUCGACCGCCUGGGGAGUACGGCCGCAAGGUUAAAACUCAAAUGAAUUGACGGGGGCCCGCACAAGCGGUGGAGCAUGUGGUUUAAUUCGAUGCAACGCGAAGAACCUUACCUGGUCUUGACAUCCACAGAACUUUCCAGAGAUGGAUUGGUGCCUUCGGGAACUGUGAGACAGGUGCUGCAUGGCUGUCGUCAGCUCGUGUUGUGAAAUGUUGGGUUAAGUCCCGCAACGAGCGCAACCCUUAUCCUUUGUUGCCAGCGGUCCGGCCGGGAACUCAAAGGAGACUGCCAGUGAUAAACUGGAGGAAGGUGAGGAUGACGUCAAGUCAUCAUGGCCCUUACGACCAGGGCUACACACGUGCUACAAUGGCGCAUACAAAGAGAAGCGACCUCGCGAGAGCAAGCGGACCUCAUAAAGUGCGUCGUAGUCCGGAUUGGAGUCUGCAACUCGACUCCAUGAAGUCGGAAUCGCUAGUAAUCGUGGAUCAGAAUGCCACGGUGAAUACGUUCCCGGGCCUUGUACACACCGCCCGUCACACCAUGGGAGUGGGUUGCAAAAGAAGUAGGUAGCUUAACCUUCGGGAGGGCGCUUACCACUUUGUGAUUCAUGACUGGGGUG
rnacentral:rRNA from 1 species